rnacentral:rRNA from 1 species
AGUGAACGCUGGCGGUAGGCCUAACACAUGCAAGUCGAACGGCAGCACAGUAAGAGCUUGCUCUUACGGGUGGCGAGUGGCGGACGGGUGAGGAAUACAUCGGAAUCUACUUUUUCGUGGGGGAUAACGUAGGGAAACUUACGCUAAUACCGCAUACGACCUACGGGUGAAAGCAGUGGAUCUUCGGACCUUGCGCGAUUGAAUGAGCCGAUGUCGGAUUAGCUAGUUGGCGGGGUAAAGGCCCACCAAGGCGACGAUCCGCAGCUGGUCUGAGAGGAUGAUAAGCCACACUGGAACUGAGACACGGUCCAGACUCCUACGGGAGGCAGCAGUGGGGAAUAUUGGACAAUGGGCGCAAGCCUGAUCCAGCCAUACCGCGUGGGUGAAGAAGGCCUUCGGGUUGUAAAGCCCUUUUGUUGGGAAAGAAAAGCAGCAGGUUAAUACCCCGCUGUUCUGACGGUACCCAAAGAAUAAGCACCGGCUAACUUCGUG